UACAGAGGGUGCAAGCGUUAAUCGGAAUUACUGGGCGUAAAGCGUGCGUAGGCGGCUAUCUAAGUCGGGUGUGAAAGCCCCGGGCUCAACCUGGGAAUUGCAUUCGAGACUGAAUAGCUAGGGUACGGUAGAGGGAAGUGGAAUUUCCGGUGUAGCGGUGAAAUGCGUAGAUAUCGGAAGGAACAUCAGUGGCGAAAGCGACUUCCUGGACCAGUACUGACGUUCAGGCACGAAAGCGUGGGGAGCAAACAGG
rnacentral:rRNA from 1 species